rnacentral:rRNA from 1 species
GACGGUACCUGAGGAAUAAGCAUCGGCUAACUCCGUGCCAGCAGCCGCGGUAAUACGGAGGAUGCAAGCGUUAUCCGGAAUGAUUGGGCGUAAAGGGUCCGCAGGUGGCAUUGUAAGUCUGCUGUUAAAGAGUUUGGCUCAACCAAAUAAAAGCAGUGGAAACUACAAAGCUAGAGUUUGGUCGGGGCAGAGGGAAUUCCUGGUGUAGCGGUGAAAUGCGUAGAUAUCAGGAAGAACACCAGUGGCGAAGGCGCUCUGCUAGGCCGAGACUGACACUGAGGGACGAAAGCUAGGGGAGCGAAUGGGAU